rnacentral:rRNA from 1 species
ACUCCUACGGGAGGCAGCAGUAGGGAAUCUUCCACAAUGGGCGCAAGCCUGAUGGAGCAACACCGCGUGAGUGAAGAAGGGUUUCGGCUCGUAAAGCUCUGUUGUUAAAGAAGAACACGUAUGAGAGUAACUGUUCAUACGUUGACGGUAUUUAACCAGAAAGUCACGGCUAACUACGUGCCAGCAGCCGCGGUAAUACGUAGGUGGCAAGCGUUAUCCGGAUUUAUUGGGCGUAAAGAGAGUGCAGGCGGUUUUCUAAGUCUGAUGUGAAAGCCUUCGGCUUAACCGGAGAAGUGCAUCGGAAACUGGAUAACUUGAGUGCAGAAGAGGGUAGUGGAACUCCAUGUGUAGCGGUGGAAUGCGUAGAUAUAUGGAAGAACACCAGUGGCGAAGGCGGCUACCUGGUCUGCAACUGACGCUGAGACUCGAAAGCAGU